UACGUAGGCAGCAAGCGUUGUUCGGAGUUACUGGGCGUAAAGGGUGCGUAGGCGGCUCUAUAAGUAUGGUGUGAAAUCUCCCGGCUUAACUGGGAGGGUGCGCUAUAGACUGUGGGGCUAGAGUGUGGGAGAGGAAAGUGGAAUUCCUGGUGUAGCGGUGAAAUGCGUAGAUAUCAGGAAGAACACCCGUGGCGGAAGGCGGCUCUCUGGGACGGUACUGACGCUGAGACGCGAAAGCGUGGGGAGCGAACAGG
rnacentral:rRNA from 1 species